ensembl:lncRNA
GGGAAGGCCAGGCAUGAGGAAAAGAGCCAUUCACUUCGUUAAUUUCAAUUUAGUGUUGAACCAUUUCAAUCAAUGAUUUAUUAUUUUUGUUUAUAAAAUAUGUUGUAGUUCCCCAAAGAGAGCUCUUAAUCCUCUUAAGAAUGCACUAAACUCCUCCAUAUCUGUUAGGACUGUGGAUUUGGGGGUCCUCAGCAGUGAGAGAGAUUCAUUCAAUGCAGUGAAGGAUAUGGCGCCAUGUGCUAAUAGGCACUCAACAGAAGCUUUUUAGAAAUUGUAGUGAUGAAAAACCUACCUGAAACAAAGGAGGAAUAUUUGACAAAAAAGGGGAAAAGUUAUAUCUGGGGUCCUGCUUGGCCUGUUUCAUUGGAGUUACCUCUCUCCCUGACAUUCAGCUGAAGCAACAGGAUUGGGUGGCCGCCAUAAUUUGACCAGCUGACUUCCAUUCCUGGUUCCAGCUGAUUGAACCAAAUGAGUCCCAGUUCAAGCUGAGCCAAUCAGCUUUGCCUCUUAUGGAUUUUAUCUUCAGAAGACAAAGAUUCAUCUAGAUUUGCCAUCAGUCUUGAUACAACAUGCAGAAGCUUGUCUGAAAAAGAAACCAAAUGGAGGCAAAGUAGCCAAGAGAUGAGAAAAGAGUACAGACCCUGAUGAUCUCAUUUGAUCCUUGGAUUCUCCCAUGAUGCCUCUUGGACUAUUCAGUUUUUAAAUGCAAUUUUAUCCAUUUUUGAAUGAUCAUUAAGUUGGGUCUCUGUCAUGUGAAGUUAAAGCACCGUAUAUGUCAAUGGAUACAGUGUCAAUAUGUAGAAAUCAACUUUAUUUCUAUAAGCUACCAAGAUGUAAUUGAAACAUAAAAUUUAAAAAAUUAUUUACAAUAGCACCAAGAAUAAAAUCUAAUGAAAAAUUUGUAGGCCCUUUACACAAAACUACAAGAUUAAGCCCAGAGAAAUUAAAGAUCUAAAUAAAUGGAGGAUGCUAUCAAGUUCAAAGAUUGGAAAAAUUCUUACUGUAAAGAUGCCUGUUUUUAAAAAAUUGAUCCAUAAAAUCAAUGCAGCCUCAAUCAAAAUUCCAAACUAUGUAUGUAUUUGUGUAUAAUAUAUAAAAUAUAUACAUGCAUAUUAUAUGCAUAUAUAUUUUUUAAUAUGUGUGAAACUGACUCUAAAAUUUAUAUAGAAUUAUUUUAAGGUCAAGCAUAGCCAGGACAAUGUUGAAGAAAAAGAAAAACCUUAUUGUGUAGCUACAGGAAUUAAGGCAGUGUGGUAUUGGCACAAGGAUAGACAUGUAGACCAAUGGAAAAACAUCUUUUUAGUGAGCAGAGGAGUGGAUGGGAGAUCAAGAAACAAAGGUGGUGAGGGUAGAUCUAUCUUAAAGAAAUUUGGUUCUAAAUGGAAGGAGAGAAAUAGGGAUGAAAUUAGAGGUAAAUGAGAUGUUGGGAGACAUAAUGUCCUAGAGAACCAGAAGUUCUUUCGAAGAACCACUAUUUAGAAGGGCAGGCCCCCUCCUUCCUUCUCUAACCCCCAUUCUUUGACUAAUGCCAAGUAACACAGAAUUGUCGGCAGUUGUAUACAACUUGCAAAUCACACAAGCUUGGAAGCUGCCAGGGUUAUUCAGUUUAGGUUUCAGAGAGAAUUCAGGAGAACAUCAAUAGAGAGCCCAAAGCAAGUGCACUCACUGAGAGCUCAACACCCCUCUCAGCUGCAUGCGGCACUCUCUCCCUGCCUCAGAAGGGCAAGGAUUUUGAGAGAAACCACAGGUCGGCUUACAAGAAAAAAGUCAGAACUUUGGGAUUCUUAACUAACCCCUUUAGGGCAGGAACCGUGUUUUUUUUGACUUUACAUACUCCCAGUUGCAGUGUCAGGACGUGGAAAGCUCUCUGUGUUUGUUGGGAUCAAUCAAUCAAU